ACAAAAUAGUCGCUGGCUUUAUUUUUAUAAGCGAGAGGAAAGUCCGGGCUCCAUAGAGCAAGGAUACUUGAUAACGUCAAGCGAGGGUGACCUUAGGGAAAGUGCAACAGAAAAAAACAGCCCCCAAAAAGUCAAAACUGUCGUUUUGUGAUAGUUUUGAAUUUUGGGGGGUAAAGGUGAAAAGGUAGGGUAAGAGCCUACCGGCAAAAUGGUGACAUUUUGCGUCAAUGUAAACCCUAUCCGGAGCAACACUUGGGAAGCUUAGCAUAGAUAAAAAAACUGCUCGUUUUUCUAUGUAGCUUUGAGGUGGCUUGAGGUAUAUAGCAAUAUAUAUCCUAGAUAAAUGACUAUUUGAAAUAACAGAACCCGGCUUAUUGUUUAC
rnacentral:RNase_P_RNA from 1 species